GAGUCUUGCUCUGUCACCCAGGCUGGAGUGCAGUGGUGCAAUCUCAGCUCACUGCGACCUCCGCCUCCGGGGUUCAAGCGAUUCUCGUGCCUCAGUCUCCGAGUAGCUGGGAUUACAGAUGCCUGCCACCACGCCUGGCUAAUUUUUAUAUUUUUAGUAGAAACCGGGUUUCACUAUGUUGACCAGGUGGGUCUUGAACUCCUGACCUUGGGUGAUUCGCCUGCCUCGGCCUCACAAAGUGUUGAGAUUACAGGCGUGAGCCACUGCGCCCAGGCCUGUGAAUUUUUUCCAUGAAAAACAAAGUCUAAACCAGAAUGGAAUCGUCUUUGUGAAAUUUGCUCUAAUAUGGAUUCAAUUUUCAGUGACAGGGGUAAAUGUAAGGCUUAGGUUUGCUGUCCAUCAGGCCCACUGGAAAACCCUCCCGCCCCCCACGCGCCACCUCCCGUCCUCUUCUGGUUGAUGGGCUCCCCUGUCGCCGCAAUCCCCACUUUGACUCAAGUCUACUGCAUUGGGUCAGUAGCUUUCUGAAGGUCAACGCGGCUGCUCUUUCUCUUUGGCCGACUGGCGUUCCCUAUACGUUCUGACAGCUCUUCGUGAAAGGCGUUAGGCUCCAUUUCAAUUAGUGCACCGGCGGGGGGAGAGCUGUUUGUCAGAAUCUAAUUUCCUCGCUAGCAGUUUACUGCCUUUACCGCAAACAGAACGAGCCACUUGAAUAGAAUGGCAAGUAUUUUUUUUUCCCCAAGCAAAUCUCUGCUCAUGUGAACACUUAGGCAAUUACUGCACUUGUCACUGUGCCGUUAAAGUGUGGGUGUGUAGGAGCUGCAUUUUCCAGUGAUGCCAGACUUGAAGAGAAAGAGCGUGUGUGACACAUUUGAAUGAAAAUGUCAUCACACCAAGUAUAUCCUGUAGGGAGCUAACAGUGCAGGUCUCUAUAGAAGAGAUGUUAAAUAUGAGCUCAGGCAUGAGCCACCAUGCCCGGCCACUUUGCUUUGUUUUAAUGUUCAUGAGCUCUACCUAAGUUUCAGCAUAAGGGGAGAAUAUGGAGAGAGGAACAAGGGCUGGCCCCGGAGGCUGUGUGGGCUCUUCCUGCCUGUCAGCCUUGGAAGCACAGUUCCACGUCUUUGUCAAGUUCGAAAUGUUAGCCCACCUGCCAAGUAGGAUUACAAACGCAUUUUUAAAUGAUGCUCUUGUUUUGUGAUUGGUGUUCUUAAAAUUUUAAUUUGAAAUGAGUAUUUUUCUCUUCUUUUGAAAGAAGAGAAAGUAUACUUUUUAAAAUUAUACCUAUUUAAGGUAUAUGUGAUGUUUAUUUACAUAUACACACAAACACGUAGAAGUUUACUUCAGUCAAGCAAAUGACAUGUGCACCGUUUCACAUAGUUACCCUUUUUGGUGUGUGUGGUGAAAGUACCUAAAUUCUACUCUCUUACUAAAUUUCCAGCAUACAUGAUGAUUUGGAUGUGUGUCCCCACCAAACCUCACAUUAAAUUGAACACUUCAUUGUUGGAGGUGGGGCCCGGUAGGUCAUUGGACCGUGGGGGUGGAGUUCUCGUGACUGCUUUAGUACCGUCCGCCCCACACCCCACCCCCGGGUACUGUACAGGGAGUUCUCUCAACAUCUGGCUGUUUAAGUGUGUGUAGCACUUCCCCCCUUUCUGUAUUCCUCCUGCUCCAGCCGUGUGAGAAGCCUGCUCCCCCUUCCCCUUCCACCAUGACUGGAAGCUUCCUGAGGCCUCCCAAGAAGCAGAAGCUGCCAUCUUCCUGUACAGCCGGCAGAACCAUAAACCUGUUAAACCUCUUUUCUUUAUCAAUCACCCAGUGCCAGGUUCCUUUAGAGCAAUGCAAAAACUGACUGAUACACAUGACAAUAUUAUUCACUGCAGUCUUAGCAUUCUUCACAUCUCCAGGCUUAUUCAUCCUACAUAGUGGACACUUUCUACACUUCAAUCUCCAUCUCCUCAAUUCCCGCCACCACCCCCACCCCCCUUAUUUUGCUUAUUUUGCAAAAUGUCCUCAGGUUAAUUAUAAAUUAUAUUAUAAAUCACAGAAUCUCCUUUUGUAUAGCUGAAAAAAAUAUUCUAAUGUGUACACAUACCACAGUUUCUUUGUCCAUUCAUCCAUCAAUGGCCCCACGGGUUGUUUACAUAUCUUGGCUCUUAGGAAUCCUGCUGUGAUAAACAGGGGUACCGAUAUUUUCAUGAGGUGGUGAUGUCAUUUUGCAAAGAGGGAUUGCUGGGUCGGGGCCACAUACUGUUUUCCUUAAUGGCCGCACCAAUCUACAGUCUCACCAGCAGCGAACCAGGGUUCCCCUUUCUACACACCCUCACCGACAUUUGUGAUCUCCUCUUUUUUAUCAUAGCCAUUCUAACAAGGGCUCAUGUGGUUGUAAUUUGCAUUUCCUUCAUGAUUAGAGGUGUUGAGUACCUUUAUCAUAUACCCGUUGGCUGUUUUUAUUUCUUCUUUGGAGAAAUGUCUAUUUAGGUUCUUUGCCUUUUUUUUUUUUUUUUGAGAUGGAGUCUCGCUGUUGUCGGCAGGGGCUGGAGUGCAGUGGUGCGAUCUCGGCUCACUGCAACCCCCACCUCCCGGGUUCCAGCAAUUCUCCCACCUCAGCCUCCUGAGUAGCUGAGAUUACAGGCACCCACCACCUCACCUGGCUAAUUUUUGUAUUUUUAGUAGACACAGGGUUUCACCAUUUUGGCCAGGCUGGGCUCGAACUCCUGACCUCAUGUGAUCCACCCCCACCACCUUGGCCUCCCAUAGUGCUGGGAUUACAGGUGUGAGGCACCGCACCCGGCCCUUUGCCCAUUUUUAAUUGGGUUAUUUGGUAUUUUGCUACUGAAUUGUAUGAGUUCCUUAUAUUUUCCAGAUAUUAACCCCUUAUCCAAUAUGUGGUUUGCAAAUAUUUCCUCCCAAUCUGUUUGCUGGGUUUUCAUUUUGUUGGUUAUUUUCUUUGCUGUGCAGAAGCUUUUCAGUUUGAUGUAGCCCUACUUACUUAAAUAUUUUCUCUUUUAUUGCCUGUGCUUUUGGUGAGAUAUCCAAAAAAUCCUUGCCAAGUUCAAUCUCAAGAAGCUUUCUAGCUAUGUUUUCUUCCAGGAGUUUCAUGAUUUCAGGUCUUACAUUUAGGUCCUUAAUCCAUUUUGAGUUGAUUUCGUAUAUGGUGUAAGAUAAGGAUGCAUUUUCAUUCUUUUGCAUGUGGAUAUCCAGUUUUGCCAAUACCAUUUACUGAAGAGACUAUCUUUUUUCCAUUGUGUCUUCUUGAUUGCUUAAGUAUACUUUAAAAUAGAUACUUUAAAUUAGUCUGCACAAAAGAAAAUGUUAUUCAUAAGCCUUAUUAAAAACAAAUUGUUCUAAUUAAAUAAACAAUGAUCAAGAUGCAGAAACUUCUCCAACUAAAAGCUCUUAUUGGAUAGAAAUGGUUUUUAAUAAUAAUUUCUUAAAAAUGCUGAGUUUUAACUUCUAGUGGGGAAUUUCACAAAAUUUAAAAAUACACAGAGGUCCUUGAAAACAGGUCAUACAUACCAUGUGCUUGGAGCUGUUACCGCUCACACUGAACGCAGGGCGGGCUCUGUGCUUUUUACCAAAAUAUCAGCGAACUCUGCUGAGUCUGUGCACAGGCUCUGUUCAGUAAGCUUUAGCUGCAGUUCAUCCUUGGGCUCUGGUGGCUGAGCCCACGCCAAGUCCCUCUGCUGCAC
rnacentral:lncRNA from 10 species